rnacentral:rRNA from 1 species
ACGGGUGAGUAACGCGUGGGAACGUACCUUUUGGUUCGGAACAACACAGGGAAACUUGUGCUAAUACCGGAUAAGCCCUUACGGGGAAAGAUUUAUCGCCGAAAGAUCGGCCCGCGUCUGAUUAGCUAGUUGGUAGGGUAAUGGCCUACCAAGGCGACGAUCAGUAGCUGGUCUGAGAGGAAGAUCAGCCACAUUGGGACUGAGACACGGCCCAAACUCCUACGGGAGGCAGCAGUGGGGAAUAUUGGACAAUGGGCGCAAGCCUGAUCCAGCCAUGCCGCGUGAGUGAUGAAGGCCCUAGGGUUGUAAAGCUCUUUUGUACGGGAAGAUAAUGACGGUACCGUAAGAAUAAGCCCCGGCUAACUUCGUGCCAGCAGCCGCGGUAAUACGAAGGGGGCUAGCGUUGCUCGGAAUCACUGGGCGUAAAGGGUGCGUAGGCGGGUUUUUAAGUCAGAGGUGAAAUCCUGGAGCUCAACUCCAGAACUGCCUUUGAUACUGAAAGUCUUGAGUAUGGGAGAGGUGAGUGGAACUGCGAGUGUAGAGGUGAAAUUCGUAGA